rnacentral:rRNA from 1 species
UAGGGAAUCUUCGGCAAUGGACGGAAGUCUGACCGAGCAACGCCGCGUGAGUGAAGAAGGUUUUCGGAUCGUAAAGCUCUGUUGUAAGAGAAGAACGAGUGUGAGAGUGGAAAGUUCACACUGUGACGGUAUCUUACCAGAAAGGGACGGCUAACUACGUGCCAGCAGCCGCGGUAAUACGUAGGUCCCGAGCGUUGUCCGGAUUUAUUGGGCGUAAAGCGAGCGCAGGCGGUUAGAUAAGUCUGAAGUUAAAGGCUGUGGCUUAACCAUAGUAGGCUUUGGAAACUGUUUAACUUGAGUGCAAGAGGGGAGAGUGGAAUUCCAUGUGUAGCGGUGAAAUGCGUAGAUAUAUGGAGGAACACCGGUGGCGAAAGCGGCUCUCUGGCUUGUAACUGACGCUGAGGCUCGAAAGCGUGGGGAGCAAACAGGAUUAGAUACCCUGGUAGUCCACGCUGUAAACGAUGAGUGCUAGUGUUAGACCCUUUCCGGGGUUUAGUGCCGUAGCUAACGCAUUAACACUCCGCCUGGGGAGUACGACCGCAAUG